UACGUAGGGUGCUAGCGUUGUCCGGAUUUAUUGGGCGUAAAGGGCUCGUAGGCGGCUUGUCACGUCGGGUGUGAAAGCCCGGGGCUUAACCCCGGGUCUGCAUUCGAUACGGGCUAGCUAGAGUGUGGUAGGGGAGAUCGGAAUUCCUGGUGUAGCGGUGAAAUGCGCAGAUAUCAGGAGGAACACCGGUGGCGAAGGCGGAUCUCUGGGCCAUUACUGACGCUGAGGAGCGAAAGCGUGGGGAGCGAACAGG
rnacentral:rRNA from 1 species